rnacentral:misc_RNA from 1 species
CCCUUCCGGUCUUCGAGACCGCGUCUUCAACUUGCCGCAGGACCCCACGAAAGUGGCCAGAAAUGCGGACGAGGCGAAGUAACCCUUGACCAUGAGUACCUUUUGUUCCCUCGGCGGGCUCGCGCCCGUCGCUGGGCCCAUCCAAACCCCUUUGCAGUAGCAGUAUACCUCUGAUCGUGGGCACUUGAAUCUUUA